GUGCCAGCCGCCGCGGUAAUACGAGAGGUCCAAACGUUAUUCGGAAUCACUGGGCUUACAGAGUUCGUAGGCGGUCCAGAAAGUGGGGUGUGAAAGCCCUCGGCUCAACCGAGGAACUGCGCUCCAAACUACUGGGCUAGAGGAAGAUAGAGGUGAGCAGAACUGAUGGUGGAGCGGUGAAAUGCGUUGAUAUCAUCAGGAAUACCGGAGGCGAAGGCGGCUCACUGGGUCUUUUCUGACGCUGAGGAACGAAAGCUAGGGGAGCAAACGGGAUUAGAUACCCCUGUAGUCC
rnacentral:rRNA from 1 species